rnacentral:tRNA from 1 species
GCCGACGUAGCUCAGUUGGUAGAGCAGCUGAUUCGUAAUCAGCAGGUCAGGAGUUCGAAUCUCCUCGUCGGCUCCA